ensembl:lncRNA
AUUUAAUAAAUGCAAUUUCAGUUUUUUUUUUAUAAAUAAAUAAAGUUUGAAUUUAUUUUAAAUACAUUCUAUUAAAAAGUUAUUAAUAUAAUGAAAAGACAUAUUUGAUUCAUAACACUGGCAAAACUAUGAGAUUAAAUAUCCUGAAUGAUGCUGCUUUCAGUAAUUUACUGUAUUGUUACUUUCAUGAACUCUAUAAUGAGAGAAAAUUACUCAGUGCAAAAUAUUUAUCCUUUCUCAUGUGAACGAAAUUCUUUCACGUUUAAUGAACAUAAUUUUUUGGAUGUUUGCUGUGUCCGUGUGUGUGUGUGUGUGUGUGUGUGUGUUACUCAUCCAUCUUCUCUCUGUGUUUCCAUGGCAGCCGACGACCCCCAGCAUCACCUACUCGACCCAACCGACCCACAGACUCCUCCCUCUUAGACUAUUAGCCCCUCCCAAACCUUGUGACAGACAGCGAGGACAGACACGGACAGACACGCCCACUCCACCAGAACUCCUCCCCUUCCUGCUCCUCAACUCACACACAUCAUACAACUCUACAACCCUCUGUCACAGUUUAACCUUUCAUUUCACAUAGUUCUGUCAUCGUCAGACCAAAAUUUAGAAAAGGACACAUACUUGAGGAAUAUUGAGAGCUGGAAGCCCUUAUUUAGGAAACUUAGAUCUACAACACAACAUUUUUAUGAACUCAAACUCUUUGACAGCUGGUUGAUGAGUUUAACAUCACUGUUUAUCCUCCUUAACUUAAAGAAUGAGCUUGACUAGAAAAGUUAGAUGAAUGAGCACAGGGUUUGAUAAAUGCAUUUCUUAUUUACGUUCUGUUUCUCUAAGCUUCUUUUGGCUCUCAAAUGCUUGAUUUCCUGCUGUUUAAGGAUGCAUUAUCUCUCCAAAGUGUGAUCUGGAGUCUCGUGAUAACUGCAUCUUCUGGAAUGAGCUCAUGUGCAUCUGUAUUUCUGUUCAUUACUUUGGCUCUUCUUGUUUUUGUUUCGUAUGUGUGUCGGGCUGCAGUGGUCCCUGAGCUCACGGGCCAGAAGACGACACCAGACUCCCUGAAGGCCGGUCAAACACAGGUGACCCUUCUCGCCCCUUCUCUCCACGCGACCCUUAGCAUCAUUUCUUCUUCUGUUCCUCCCCGUCGAGUAAAACAACCCAAACCCACCAGCACAAGAGAAACCUUCCAGAUGUUUCCAGCAUCCUCGGAUUGAGAAACCAGUUUCAAGCUCAUUGUGGAGAUCAUUAUCAUGACCAUCAAACCUAAAAGAAACUCGUCAAAGGGAUAGUUCACCCUCGUGUCGAUUCCAACCAGUUUUCCUUUUUCCGUGGAACACAAAAGAUAAUAUUCUGAAGCAGUAAACCGUUUCGGGUCCCAUUGACUUCCAUAGUUUGGACAAACAGUACUGUGAAACUCAAGGGGACCCGAAACUAUUUGCUCUUCAAAAUAUCUCUUUGUAUAUAUCUGUUCCACAGCCAUUUAUUCCCCACACUGCAAACAAUCCUUAUUUUAGUCUCUUUUUCCAUUUAAAAGGAAGUUCAGCUACCGGAAACCCUGAAAAAUGCACUAAAGUAGGGAUCUUCUUGCAGUGCAAACCUUGUGACGAUGUAAAGUACGAGGACGUGUGUUCACUCUCAGUGAUUGUGCUCAGAAAUCAUUCAUUCAUCAGUGAAUCUGAGCCUUCGGUGGAGCUGGAUUGAAUUAGAGAGUGUCACUUUAAACACAGAAGUGCUGUUUCAGGGUGAACAGACGUCCUCGAGCUGGAUGAGAUGCUUGUGUGUUUACAACUGAGUUAAUAAACGAGUAGAGACUGAUGCUGAAGACUGUUGAAUGAUCAUGUCCAGAUGGUUUUCCACACAAAGGCUAUGUUUAGAAUUUAAUACUUGCUUACUGUAUAUACUUACUAUACAGUAUACACUGCUUACUGUUCUUAACAAAUAGCAUGUGGAAGUGCACUAUUCAAUGCUAAACAGUAGUAUGCAACAUUGUCGGCUCGUUGCAUGUUUAAAUUUAGUUCUUUUUGCAUUUUUAAGUCUGAUACAUGUACAAAUUUUUGCAAACGUAGUCUGUAAUUUGGGUGUUCAUACAGAUCUGUAAAUGGUGUGCAUACUAUAUAAUAAUAGCAGUAGUAUGAUAUUCUGAACAUAGCUGCAUAUGAUUGAAGGUGCUGUAAGCUAUUUGUAUUGAUUCCACCGCAUCAAUCAAGCCACAAAUGAUUUCGUAUCAGAUAAAAAAAAGUGGAUAUUAUAAAUAGUUUAGAGCACCUUUAAACGCCACCAAUGGACAUUUUUCAUGUGUGCUGAAAAACUGUCCCUGUGCAUUGAGAUUAUGCAACUAUAUCUCAAGUCUAAGAUUUUAUUGUCUGUAAUUUAAGAUCUCAAGAUGGUCUAUGCAUAGAAAUCAUUCCAGUUUGUUCAGGUGUUUUGUCGAAUACGAACACACCCCUCCACAACCGUGGACUGUGAAUCUGUCGUGUGUUGUAAUAAUUCUAAAGAUUAUAAAGUCUGUGUUGCUGAUCGUUGAUGUUGUGGCAUGAGCAGACGGUUUCAUCUGUACUAAUAUCAAUAAUAUGUUUCUGUCUUCAACAUGCUCACCAAAUCUUCCCAGAAUCCACUGGGAGUCUUAGUAAGACCCACUAAACAGACAAUAUUUACCGUUAUUUAAGAGUUUGUCAUGGACAUACUGUAUCUUAAGUGAGUCCCGUGUCUUUGUGGUGCAUUUAUGCAAAUUGUGCUUCCACUGUUUUAGAGACUAGUCCACAUGUAUGAUUAUUGAAUAUUAAAUUAUUAUGGGUAAAUAAAGCAGGCCUCUUUCUGUGUUUGGACAGAAAGGUGUUAUGAUACUGAGUGUGUAACGUGUGAAUGAAUGUGUGUGUGUGUGUGUGUGUGUGUGUAACGUGUUCUGCUCGGGCGAGUUUGUCAAGCUGGACUCUGUCAUCAUUAAACUUCAGUGUACGGAAAUGUUGUUUCCUGUUAUUUUUCUUGUCUUCUGAAAACUUAAAAGAUAUUUUAGAAUACAAUUCAAAUAUGAAAUCAAAUGCUGAGUCGAUGUGUUUCUAUGGAAGGUCAUUGGUGUCACAUAAGAGAAAAAAUGUUUUGGUAAACCACAAUUAUGACCUUAAAAGUCUAAAUUAUUACUGAUUGCAAUUAUGACAAUCAUAAUUAUGGGGUGCAUUAAAAUUAUACUAGUAACUUUGUAUUCCAUAAUUAUAACUUAUUGUGUCAUUUUUGAACAUCAUAUCAGAAUCAUGCCUUUUAUCUCAUAACGAUAACUUUGUAUGUCUUUUUUUCAUGACAGUUUAACUCAAUUAUGAGAAUCAAAAUUGACAGUCAUAAUUAUGAAAUAAAAAAAGGAAAUAAAAUUUUAACUUGUCUUAAUGACUUAACAUAAUAAUAUUAAAAAAGAAGUUAUGACAAAAUAACAAUUACGAG